UGAAGAUUCUGGUGGAGUUGUGAUUAAUAUAAAUACAAUCCCAUCUACUCAUUUCAUCAACUUAAGCUGUUUGUUUUGUGAUUCUCGUGUCUAGGUGCUUGUGUAACUGAUCAAGAUGAGUGAUCCCAAGUAUGCUUACCCAUACCCUGCUCAAGGUUAUUAUCAAGGCCCCCUUGUAAUGGCACCACCACAAUAUGCUGCUCCACCACCAAGAAGAGAACCUAGUUUUCUUGAAGGAUGUCUUGCUGCUUUAUGUUGUUGCUGUCUCAUUGAUGAAUGUUGCUGUGAUCCUUCCAUAAUUUUUAUCAGCUAAUUAGUGAUCUUGGUCAUUGUAUCGUCUAGUUGAAGUGUUAGUGAAUUUACUAAGAACCCUUUUCAGCUUUUUGAUUGUUGUUUCUUGCAUUGUGAACCUGUGAUGGGUUGUUUUUUUUAUUUUUGCUCGAUAAAGAAAAGAUAUAUUGAGAAGAUUAGCAGCCAAAAAUAGCAGCUAACCACCAAGCAAACAUUCUGUGAUAGGGGUUGAUAACUUGAUAUCAAGUCUUAAAGAGUUGCUCCUUCAUGAUCUUUGGGUUGUAUUUUAUGUAGUUUCUUACGUAAAGCCAUGUUUUGACAAUGGAAAUGAGAGCAUCUCAAG